CUGUCGUCAGCUCGUGUCGUGAGAUGUUGGGUUAAGUCCCGCAACGAGAACCAACCCUUCGCCAUUAGUUGCCAUCAUUAAGUUGGGCAAUGUAGUGGGACUGCCGGUGAUAAGCCGGAGGAAGGUGGGGAUGACGUCAAGUCAUCAAAGCCCUUACGGGCUGGGCUACACACGUGCUACAAUGGCGGUGACAGUGGGCAGCAACUCAGCAAUGGGAAGCUAAUCUCAAAAAGCCGUCUCAGUUCGGAUUGGUCUCUGCAACUCGAGACCAUGAAGUCGGAAUCGCUAGUAAUCGCGGAU
rnacentral:rRNA from 1 species